GCCGGGUGUGGUGGUGCAUGCCUGUCAUCCCAGCGGCUCAGGAGGCUGAGGCAGGAGGAUUGCGAGUUCAAGGCCAGCCUCAGCCAUAGCCAGGCACUAAGCCACUCGGUGAGACCCUGUCUCUC
rnacentral:sRNA from 1 species